GAUGAACGCUGGCGGCGUGCCUAAUACAUGCAAGUCGAGCGAACGGACGAGAAGCUUGCUUCUCUGAUGUUAGCGGCGGACGGGUGAGUAACACGUGGAUAACCUACCUAUAAGACUGGGAUAACUUCGGGAAACCGGAGCUAAUACCGGAUAAUAUUUUGAACCGCAUGGUUCAAAAGUGAAAGACGGUCUUGCUGUCACUUAUAGAUAGAUCCGCGCUGCAUUAGCUAGUUGGUAAGGUAACGGCUUACCAAGGCAACGAUGCAUAGCCGACCUGAGAGGGUGAUCGGCCACACUGGAACUGGGACACGGUCCAGACUCCUACGGGAGGCAGCAGUAGGGAAUCUUCCGCAAUGGGCGAAAGCCUGACGGAUCAACGCCGCGUGAGUGAUGAAGGUCUUCGGAUCGUAAAACUCUGUUAUUAGGGAAGAACAUAUGUGUAAGUAACUGUGCACAUCUUGACGGUACCUAAUCAGAAAGCCACGGCUAACUACGUG
rnacentral:rRNA from 1 species